GAAUCUGCCCUCAGGAGGGGGAUAACAGCUGGAAACGGCUGCUAAUACCCCAUAUGCCGCGAGGUGAAAUGAAUUUCGCCUGAGGAUGAGCUCGCGUCUGAUUAGCUAGUUGGUGUUGGUAAUGGCUCACCAAGGCAUCGAUCAGUAGCUGGUCUGAGAGGAUGAUCAGCCACACUGGGACUGAGAUACGGCCCAGACUCCUACGGGAGGCAGCAGUGGGGAAUUUUCCGCAAUGGGCGAAAGCCUGACGGAGCAACGCCGCGUGAGGGAUGAAGGCCUCUGGGCUGUAAACCUCUUUUCUCAAGGAAGAAGAUCUGACGGUACUUGAGGAAUAAGCCACGGCUAAUUCCGUGCCAGCAGCCGCGGUAAUACGGGAGUGGCAAGCGUUAUCCGGAAUUAUUGGGCGUAAAGCGUCCGCAGGCGGCCCUUCAAGUCUGCUGUUAAAACGUGGAGCUUAACUCCAUCAUGGCAGUGGAAACUGUUGGGCUUGAGUGUGGUAGGGGCAGAGGGAAUUCCCGGUGUAGCGGUGAAAUGCGUAGAUAUCGGGAAGAACACCAGUGGCGAAGGCGCUCUGCUGGGCCAUCACUGACGCUCAUGGACGAAAGCCAGGGGAGCGAAAGGGAUUAGAUACCCCUGUAGUCCUGGCCGUAAACGAUGAACACUAGGUGUCGGGGGAAUCGACCCCCUCGGUGUCGUAGCCAACGCGUUAAGUGUUCCGCCUGGGGAGUACGCACGCAAGUGUGAAACUCAAAGGAAUUGACGGGGGCCCGCACAAGCGGUGGAGUAUGUGGUUUAAUUCGAUGCAACGCGAAGAACCUUACCAGGGUUUGACAUCCUGCGAAUCUCUGGGAAACCGGAGGGUGCCUUCGGGAACGCAGUGACAGGUGGUGCAUGGCUGUCGUCAGCUCGUGUCGUGAGAUGUUGGGUUAAGUCCCGCAACGAGCGCAACCCACGUCUUUAGUUGCCAGCAUUUAGUUGGGCACUCUAGAGAGACCGCCGGUGACAAACCGGAGGAAGGUGUGGAUGACGUCAAGUCAUCAUGCCCCUUACGUCCUGGGCUACACACGUACUACAAUGCUACGGACAAAGAGCAGCUAACUCGCGAGAGUACGCAAAUCUCAUAAACCGUGGCUCAGUUCAGAUCGUAG
rnacentral:rRNA from 1 species